CAAACUGGCGCAUGACUAAGUCGCUUUGGAUAAAAGCGUCUGCUAAAUGGCAUAUA
rfam:Salmo salar isolate Sally breed double haploid chromosome ssa10, whole genome shotgun sequence.